UACGAAGGGGGCUAGCGUUGCUCGGAAUCACUGGGCGUAAAGCGCACGUAGGCGGAUUGCUAAGCCAGGGGUGAAAUCCUGGAGCUCAACUCCAGAACUGCCUUUGAUACUGGCAAUCUCGAGUCCGGGAGAGGUGAGUGGAACUGCGAGUGUAGAGGUGAAAUUCGUAGAUAUUCGCAAGAACACCAGUGGCGAAGGCGGCUCACUGGCCCGGUACUGACGCUGAGGAGCGAAAGCGUGGGGAGCGAACAGG
rnacentral:rRNA from 1 species